rnacentral:rRNA from 1 species
CGUAGGGUGAACCUGCGGAGGGAUCAUUACACAAUAAAAUACGAAGGCCGUUCGCGGCUGGACUAUUUAUUACCCUUGUCUUUUGCGCACUUGUUGUUUCCUGGGCGGGUUCGCUCGCCACCAGGACCACAAUAUAAACCUUUUUUAUGCAGUUGCAAUCAGCGUCAGUAUAACAAAUGUAAAUCAUUUACAACUUUCAACAACGGAUCUCUUGGUUCUGGCAUCGAUGAAGAACGCAGCGAAAUGCGAUACGUAGUGUGAAUUGCAGAAUUCAGUGAAUCAUCGAAUCUUUGAACGCACAUUGCGCCCUUUGGUAUUCCAAAGGGCAUGCCUGUUCGAGCGUCAUUUGUACCCUCAAGCUUUGCUUGGUGUUGGGCGUUUUUGUCUUUGGCCCGCCAAAGACUCGCCUUAAAAUGAUUGGCAGCCGGCCUACUGGUUUCGCAGCGCAGCACAUUUUUGCGCUUGCAAUCAGCAAAAGAGGACGGCAAUCCAUCAAGACUCCUUCUCACGUUUGACCUCGGAUCAGGUAGGGAUACCCGCUGAACUUAAGCAUAUCAAUAGGCG